AAAACAUUGUGUCUAAAAAAAGUACAUAUGUCAAUUUAAAAAUGCUUUCUUGCUAGAAAGUGCUAAUCAUCACCUAAGCCUUCAGAGAGUCAUAAUCUUUUUGCUGGCAGAGGGAGACUCUUUCCUCAUUAUUGACGGCUGCUGACUGAUGAAGUUGAUGGUUGCUGAAGGUGGGGGUGGCUGUAGCAAUUCCUUAAAAUAAGAUAACAAUACAAUUUGCCAUACUGGGUGACUCUUCUUUCCUGAAUGAUUUCUCUGUAGCAUGCGAUGCUAUUUGAAAGCAUUUUCCCCAUUGUAGAAUUUCCUUCAAAAUUGAAGCAAUCUUCUCAAACCUUGUCACUGCUUUAUCAAAUCAGUGUGUGGAAUAUUCUAAAUCUUUUGUUGUCAUUUCAACAGUGUUCACAGCAUCUUCACCAGGGGGAGAUUCCAUCUCAAGAAACCACUUUCUUUAUUCAUUUAUAAGAAGCAACUCCUUAUCUGUUCAAAUUUUCUCAUGAGAUUGCAAAUUUCAGUCACAUCUUUAGGCUCCACUUAGAAAUCUAAUUCUCUUGCUAUUUCUACCACAAGUGUAUUAUUUCCUCCACAGAAGUCUUAACCCCUCAAAAUCAUCCAUGAGGGUUGAAAUUAACUUCUUCUAAACUCCUUUUAAUGCCGAAAUUUUGACCUCCUUCCAUGAUUCCAUGAAUCACAAAUGUUCUUAAUGGCAUCUAGAAUGGUGAAUUCUUUCUGUAAGGUUUUCAAUUUACUUUGCCCAGAUCCAUCAAAGAAAUCACUAUCUAUGACAGCUAUAGCCUUAUGAAAUACGUUUCUUAAAUAAUAAGACUUGAAAUUUGAAAUUACUCCUUGAUCCAUGGGCUGCAGAAUAUAUGUUGUGUUAGCAGGCAUGAGAACAACAUUAAUCUCCUAAUACAUCUCCAUUGGGCCAUCAGGGCUGUUGGGUGGCUUGGUGCAUUGUCAACGAGUAGUAAUGUUUUCUGAAAAAUAUGUUUUUUCUGAGAAGUAGGUCUCAAGAGUGGACUUAAAAUAUUCAAUAAACCAUGCUGUAAACAGGAGUGCUGUCAUUUGGGCUUUGCUGCUUCAUUUAGGGACCAUCCAUAGAGAAUUUAGCACAAUUCAUGAGGGCCUUAGGAUUUUUGAAAGAGUAAAUUAGCAAUGGCUUCAAUUUAAAGUUGCCAGCUGUAUUAACUCCUAACAAGAAAGUCAGCCUGCCCUUUGCAGCUUUGAGUCAGGCAUUGAGUUUUCCUCCCUACCUCUGAGAAUCCUAGAUGGUAUCUUCUUCCAAUAGAAGGCUGUUUUAGAGGGCUGUUUUAGAAGGCUGUUUGAGUUAUCUACACUGAAAACCUUGUUUAGUGUGGCCAUCCUCCACCAUAAUCUUAGCCAAAUCUUCUGGGUAACUUGCUGCGUCUUCUACAUCAUCACCUGCCAGUUCAACUUGCAUUUUCUGUUGUGAAGGUUGCUUAUUUCCUAAAACCCCAUGAACCAACCUCUGCUACAUUGGAACUUUGCCUCUGCAGAUUCCUCACCUCUCUCAGUCGUCAUAGAAUUGAAGAGAAUUAGAGCCUUGCUCUGGAUUAGGCUUUGUCUUAUGGCAAUACUGUGACUGGCUUAAUCUGCUACUGAGAUCACUCAGACUUUCUCCAUAUCAGCAAUAGGAUGUUUCGCUUUCUGUUAUUAUUUUUUUUUUGAGAUGGAAUCUCACUCUGUUGCCCAGAUUCUAAUGCAGUGGUGUGAUCUCAGCUCACUGCAACCUCUGCCUCCCUGGUUCAAGGGAUUUUCCUGCCUCAGCCUCCCCAGUGGUUGGAACUACAGGUGUCUGCCACCAUGCCCAGCUAUUUUUUGUAUUUUCAGUAGAGAUGGGGUUUCACCAUGUUGGCCAGGCUGGUUGGUCUUGAACUCCUGACCCCAGGUGAUCCACCUGCCUCAGUCUCCCAAAGUGCCGGGAUUACAGGCGUGAGCCACUGUGCCCAGCCAGGAUGUUUUGCUUUCUUAUCAUUCAUGAGUUCAUUGGAGUAGCACUUUUAAUUUCCUUAAAGAACUUUUCCUUACCAUUCACAACUUGGCUAACAAUUUGGUACAAGAGGCCCAGCUUUUGGUCUGUUUCAGCUUUCAACAUGCCUUCCUCACUAAGCUUCAUCAUUUCUAGCUUUUGAUUUUAAAAUCAGAUGUGCAACUCUUCCUUUUAUUUAAACAUUUAGCGGCCAUUGUGAGGUUAUUAAUCGGCCUAAUUUUAAUAUGAUUGUGUGUCAGAGAAUAAAAGGGCCUGUGGAGAGGGAGGGAGGCCGAGGAAUGCCGGUCACUGGAGCACACAGAACACACACAGCAUUUACCAAUGAAGUUUGCCAUUUCAUAUGUGCAUGGUUCGUAGUGCCCCAAAACAAGUAGAAAAGCCACAGCAAAAAUCGCUGAUCACAGAUCACCAUAACAGAUGUAAUCAUAACAAAAAAAGUUUUAAGUAUUGAGAGAAUUACCAAAAUACGACACAGAAACAAAGUGAGCACAUGUUUUAAAAAAAACAACUGUGCCAAUAGACUUGCUAAACACACAAUUGCCAUAAACCUUCACUGUGUAGAAAAAAUGCAGCAUCUGUGAAGUGCGAUGCAGUAUCUAUGAAAAUGCAGUGUCUGUGCAGUGCGGUGCAGCGUCUGUGAAUCUGUGAGGUGGGGCGCGGCGUCUGUGAGAUGCGGCGCAGGGUGUGUGAGGUGCUACGCGGCGUCUGUGACGUAGGGCGCAGGGUCUGUGAGGUGUGGCGCGGCGUCUGUGAGGUGUGGCGCGGCGUCUGUGACGUGCGGCGCAGGGUCUGAGGUGUGGCGCGGCGUCUGUGAGGUGCGGCGCGGCGUCUGUGAGGGGCGCGGCGUCUGUGAUGGGCGCAGGGUCUGUGAGGUGCAAAGGCCAUUUAGUGUGUGGCCUUAGUUAAUUUUUUGUUUUCAAUUUUCUGUCUCUCAUGUUAUUGAUCUGUAAAAGGAGCAUAAUCGUAAGUGUCUCUUCUUAUUAGGUUACUUGUGAGGCGUAAGUGAAGUACUAUGUGUUAACUAGUAUCAUGAAACUACAGCCUCACUCUCCGGAGGAAAUAGUGUAAUGAUAGCGCCGUUUACAGGGUGCACCGUAACAGGAGGCAAAAACAGAGGUGGAUACGUGCAGAGAAGUCUUUAGGUGGUCUUGACACUAGAGCUGAAUUUGAAGGAAGUUGAGAACUUGUUAGAUGAAGGGACCUGAGAACAGGAACAAGUGUUCACCAAGACCGGUCUGUGUGAACACACAGAGGCGGAAAUCAUGCCAAAACUUGCAGAGUGGCAGGAAACUCCAUUCAGCUGGAGAAAGCAUACAUAUGGAGGGAGUGAAAGGAGAUAACAGUGGAGAGGUCUGGGCAAAUUUAGGCUGACUUCAAGAAGGCAGGAGUUUCCUGUGAAGAAAAUUGACUGAUACAGAUUUGUGUUUUAGAAAAGUCAGUCUGUCAGCAGCUGGGAAGGUGAAGGGGAGGUGUCACACCAGAUGUAAUAAAAUUGGUUAGUGGGAUUUAGCCAUUGUUUUAAAGAGUGGUGAAGGUAAGGGGAGUGUGGAGAGAGAGAACUUUUUGGAAGUUGGUUAUAUUGAUGGGACAUGUGGAUGUGACUAUGAAGAGACGGAAUCAAAAAUGGGCCAGAAGUCCUAAAUCUGAGCAACCUGUGGCAUGUGCACAUAAAUAUGACCCGGGGACAUGUGGGUGUGAGAGUCUUUAUUUCAGCAAAAUAUACUAAGCUAGAGGUAUAGAUUUUGGAAUCUUCAACAAUUAAUUGGCCAUUGUGGCCAAGUGAAAACAUUAGGAGUCUAAAGAUAGAGCUGUGGCCAACACUCAUAUUUAAAGAAAGGCUUGAGAAGCCCAGUGAUGCAAGAAGUGUCAAGAAAAUAUCACUAUAAAAAUGUUUGAGAAGCAUGGUACUAGUCAUCAGUGUUAAAUGUGCUUCUGGUGAGGGGUUCAGGAAGUUUCCAAUCAUGACGGAAGGUGAAGAAGAGUAGGCAUCACAUAGCAAGAGGGGAUGCAAGACACAGGGAGAGAGAGAAGAGGGAGGCACCAGGAUGCUUUCAGCAAUCAAUGUCAGGAAAACUGAUAGAGCAAGAAGUCACUCAUUGUCACAAGGACGGCACCAAGCCCUUUCUGAGGAAUCUGCCCCAUGACCCAAACACCUCCCACCAGGCCCUACCACCAACACAGGGGAUCACAGUUCAAUGUGCGAUUUGGAGGCAAAACAUAUACAAACUAUACUAGGAAGACAAACUGAUGUGAGGAUGAGGAGGAGUCAGAAAUAAACUCAUUCAACUAAUACUUGAGUAGCUACUGUUGCCUACAGUAUGUUCAAGGUUUUGCUAGUCAUCCAUAUGAUCACUAUUGACAGCUUGGGAGACUCACACAGGCUAGUGAAUUUCAGGAAUUAACAGAAACUGAACAGCUUCUAUAAUCCUGCAGGAAGUAACCUCUGGAUGGCACAAUGGAGUCUCACUCUGUUGCCCAGGCUGGAGUGCAAUGGCACAAUCUCAGCUCACCACAAGCUCCGCCUCCUGCGUUCAAGUGAUUCUCCUGCCUUAGCCUUCUGAGUAGCUGGUAUUACAGGUGCCUGCUACCAUGGCCAGCUAAGUUUUGUAUUUUUAGUAGAGACAGGGUUUCACCAUGUUGGCCAGGCUGUUCUCAAACUCCUGACCUCAAGUGAUCUGCCCGCCUAAGCCUCCCAAAGUGCUGGGAUUACAAGCAUGAGCCGCCGCACCCGGCCUCUGCUAAGUUUACAACCUGCAAAUUCUAUCCAAAAUAUAUACAUAUUUUCUUGUAUUUUUCAUUUAAUGCACCAAAAUAAAAAAAAAAUUGUUUUUCAUUUUCUGCUGGUUAUUACUU
rnacentral:lncRNA from 1 species